ensembl:lncRNA
GAACAGGCAACGCCAUCUGAUGGCAGAGUCUCCUAUCCUAGAAUCAAAGUUAAAACCCUCAAUAGUAGUACUGAAAAACACGGGUUAGGGAGGAACGCAAGUCAUUCUAAGAACCCCAAGUCAUGCACAGCACUCACCAGCAGCCUGUUCUGGUGCCUACCUCUUCUCUUGGCAUCACGCUUGGUCAAUGCAGAGCAGUCUGCGUUUGGGUCACUGAAACUCCACCGAGGCGCCAACGGGCAACAUGGAAGACAAGAAGAGAGAGAAGAGAAACACUCCAUAACCUGUAGCAAACGCUCUGGAACCCAAAAGGCCAAGAACAGAGCCAAGCUUUGUGGGAUCAGAAGGUGGCACUGAGAUCCCAUCAGAACUGGGGAGCCCUAAAGAUGGGCAAAGGAAGAGGACCUGGUGACAGCAAGGUGAGAGUAAGGGACAACCGACACCAAGCCCAUUUCAAUUUUAUGGAAAAAUACAGGUUGUUCUAGAAGCCCCAAGUCAUACAAAACACUCACCGCAAGUCUGUUUUGGAGCCUACCUCUUCGUUUUCCAUCUCACUUGAGCAAACCUUACUAGACUACAUUCGGGUUACUGCAGACACGAGAGGGAUCAGUUGGCAGCCUGGGGGAAAAAAAAAAAAAAAAAAAAAAAAAAAAAGGAAGGAAGAGAAAUAUUGCAUAACAUGAAAAAAUGAUACUGAACCUGGAUAUAAGAGAACAAACCCACGUUCUCUGGGAUCAGCAGAAGGCACGGAGAUCCCAUCAGAACGGGGGACCCCUAUGAUGGGCAAAGGAAGAACACCCGGUGACAGCAAGGUGAGCACAAGCGACAACCAACACCAAGCCCGUAGGACCUCUGCAAGCGCGGGAACGACCUCAGGGGUCAGCAGAGCUUGCCAGACAGAGGAAGGAGUGCAUCUUGGCGUCCAUCUCUGGCUGUGGGUUCCUGCUGCGUCCACCAAAUGCCUCCAUAGAGUCCUUGCAGCGCCCCGGACAACUGCACUUCUCCACUGCAACCUGCUCCACACAGCACAAGACAAGUAGAGAUUACCUUCUGGUCAGGAUGGAGGAAUCACUUACCCCUUAUCCAUGCUGAGGUCACAUCCAACUCUGCAAACUGGGGAGAGAAGAAGAACAGGCAACGCCAUCUGAUGGCAGAG